ensembl:lncRNA
GGGAAAACAGGAAAAGCAAACCUAAGUCUUAAACAAUGCCUGUAGAUCUGUUUAAGAGCCAGGCUGGAGAUCAGCUAAGUUGCUGUUUGAUUUUGCAGGAACUGUUGUUGCCUUUUAAUGCCUGUAGGCUGGUGGGACCGCUGCCAGGGAGCAGGGUCCCCAUCACAAGGAGGGGUAGCCCUGUCCUUUGCUUUUGUGCCUCUAAUACCCAUGUUUGCUUUGCAGAAUCACCACCCAAGCAAACCUGAAGAUUGUGUAGCCACCCAAUUCUGUGUAUUUCCCAGAGCCAGAAGCUGCACAGCAGCCAUGGAAAGACUGAAGUUUGGUGCCAGUUUUGGCUCUGCCGUUAAUUCAUUCAGGACAACCUCGACAACCCAACAAGGUGGAAACCACUACCAUCACUGUUUUACUGAUGAAGAAAAACUGGGGUUCUAGGAGGACAAAUAGCUCGGUGAAGCCUGGGGAGCAGCGGUCCCAAAGCUCUGAUUCCUACACGUUUUCCUGCUGAGUCACACCGGCUGCUGAGACGUCGCCAGAGGACCUGACAGCCCCUUUAGGACUUGGACUCUAUUCUGCAUUGCUGGACGAUAAGCAGCUUUUUUCGUAUCAGUUCUUAAGAAAUGUGCAGCUUACACUGAUUAAAGGUAGGAUACACAUUUGGAAUUGAGGGCAAAACAGAAGAAUCGACUUCUUCUGAUUUCUAAUCACUGCUGGUCAAUGGAGUGCAUCCUUUCUCGGAUCAAGUCUCAGGCAGUCCUGUUCCACGGGUGGCAGUACCUACAGUUUUCUCACGUUCCUCUGCCUCCCUCUAGUGACGUAAGUCCAGAAUUACUAUAUAGAUAUGGAUAUGUGGUGUGUGUGUAUGUAUAAAUAUGUAAUCUAAUAGUAAUGUCAAUAUGUAUAUACAUAUUACAGCAGGGAGUUGUUGUAAGAACACAGAAGCUACAAAGAAAAGCCAAGCCUUAUCUACCCCUUCCUUCCUUUCCUCCCUCACACCUAAUAUAUGUGAAACAUUGUACUAAAUACCAAGGACACAAAGAUGAAAGCCUGACCCAGCGUUUCCCCACUUGGGACACUUGGGCAGUCCCUCUUUGUACCAAAAGAAAGGAAGGGAAUUUAAAAUGUCAAAGACACCGCUCUUUCUGUUUGCAGUCUUUCUGAUGUGAGGUUAAGAUGUUAACAAUGUUGCCCUGAGACUUCUGUUAAGGGGAUAGGACCACUUUUUAAUUUUGUGUCUGCACCUUAGAGCCCCACCAUUUUCGUCUUUCUUUUCUUCCCUCCUUUCUGUUCCUCUCCCACCUCUCCUCCCCUCCCCCCUCUCAUCCUAAUCUUCUGUUCCUUCACUAAUGCUUUUUUAUUAUCUGUUUUAUCUCCUCUGCCCAUCAAUAUUCCAGGCGAGGAAGCCAGGGACAUCGUGAGCACUGUGCAGCCCCGAGGGUGGCUCUCAUACCUAAAGUGAUCACUCACCUCCGUGCCGGAACAUCUAGUUUCCAGCAAUUUGCAGACGGUAAACACCCAGAGGCAGAGCCGGGGCGGAGGGGGGGCUCAGCUUCUCCAGGACACUGUAAUCAAACCCACACUGAGGAAUUUGCUGCCAGCCACUUCGUCAAAACCAGACAAGGCUGCCUCCUGGGCGAUGCCUUCUACUUGGAAACCAGGACAGGAGGCAAGGGGUUCUAGCAUGUUCUCUUUACAGAAGGAUCCAAGCGGCUUGAGUGUACCAUCUGAUACCCUGAGUCUGGCUUAGCAUCCAGUUCUCCAUCACUGCUCUGCUGCCCUCAGAGCUGCCCAGGGUCACUGGACCACCCAGCUCACUGCUGACAUUAGGGGGAGUCUCAGAUGGGACCUUUGAUAGCCACAGAAAAGGCUUCUCACCACGCUAGUGGCUUGAGCGAAGCUGGGAGAGGUAAUAUAUGGAUAUUUCAUAUAGAAUACCGGCGAUUUUUAUCUGUGGACAUCUUAUUAUUGCACCCAGCGCACUGUAUUGCAAUCCAGUGUUUAUCUCCCCGAGUGGAAUGGAAACAGCUAUAGGGCUUGAAUUAUGCAAAUUUAUUUUUGUGUCCUCAGUGCCUGGGACAUGAUUGGUGUUCAGUAACUGCUUGAAUGAAUAAAUGAGUAAUGAUUAGCC